rnacentral:rRNA from 1 species
CAUACGGGAGGCAGCAGUGGGGAAUAUUGGACAAUGGGCGAAAGCCUGAUCCAGCCAUGCCGCGUGUGUGAAGAAGGUCUUCGGAUUGUAAAGCACUUUAAGUUGGGAGGAAGGGCAGUAAGUUAAUACCUUGCUGUUUUGACGUUACCGACAGAAUAAGCACCGGCUAACUCUGUGCCAGCAGCCGCGGUAA